rnacentral:rRNA from 1 species
CAGUCGCCACGGGAAUACGAAGGGGGCUAGCGUUGUUCGGAUUUACUGGGCGUAAAGCGCACGUAGGCGGUUUGUUAAGUCAGAGGUGAAAUCCCGGAGCUCAACUCCGGAACUGCCUUUGAUACUGGCAAGCUAGAGUCCGGAAGAGGUAAGUGGAACUCCUAGUGUAGAGGUGGAAUUCGUAGAUAUUAGGAAGAACACCAGUGGCGAAGGCGGCUUACUGGUCCGGAACUGACGCUGAGGUGCGAAAGCGUGGGGAGCAAACAGGAUUAGAUACCCGCGUAGUCCCUGUCUCUUAUAC